rnacentral:rRNA from 1 species
CGGGGGAGUAACCUGGGGAAACUCGGGCUAAUACCGCGUCGUUGGUGGGACUACGGUUCUGUCAAGAAAGCUGGCCUCUGCUUGCAAGCUAGCGCUCCCAGAGGAGCCCGCGGCUGAUUAGCUAGUUGGUGGGGUAACGGCUCACCAAGGCAACGAUCAGUAUCCGGCCUGAGAGGGCGGACGGACACACUGGGACUGAGACACGGCCCAG